rnacentral:rRNA from 1 species
AUUGAACGCUGGCGGAAUGCUUUACACAUGCAAGUCGAACGGUAGAGGGGGCAACCCCUCGAGAGUGGCGAACGGGUGAGUAAUAUAUCGGAACGUGCCCAGUCGUGGGGGAUAACGUAGCGAAAGUUACGCUAAUACCGCAUACGAUCUACGGAUGAAAGCGGGGGACUCGCAAGAGCCUCGCGCGAUUGGAGCGGCCGAUGUCAGAUUAGGUAGUUGGUGAGGUAAAGGCUCACCAAGCCAACGAUCUGUAGCUGGUCUGAGAGGACGACCAGCCACACUGGAACUGAGACACGGUCCAGACUCCUACGGGAGGCAGCAGUGGGGAAUUUUGGACAAUGGACGCAAGUCUGAUCCAGCCAUUCCGCGUGCAGGAUGAAGGCCCUCGGGUUGUAAACUGCUUUUGUACGGAACGAAAAGGUUUCUCUUAAUACGAGGAGCUCAUGACGGUACCGUAAGAAUAAGCACCGGCUAAACUACGUG